rnacentral:rRNA from 1 species
GAUCAACGCUGGCGGCGUGCCUAAUACAUGCAAGUCGAGCGAAUGGAUUAAGAGCUUGCUCUUAUGAAGUUAGCGGCGGACGGGUGAGUAACACGUGGGUAACCUGCCCAUAAGACUGGGAUAACUCCGGGAAACCGGGGCUAAUACCGGAUAACAUUUUGAACCGCAUGGUUCGAAAUUGAAAGGCGGCUUCGGCUGUCACUUAUGGCUGGACCCGCGUCGAAUUAGCUAGUUGGUGAGGUAACGGCUCACCAAGGCAACGAUGCGUAGCCGACCUGAGAGGGUGAUCGGCCACACUGAGACUGAGACACGGCCCAGACUCCUACGGGAGGCAGCAGUAUGGAAUCUUCCGUAAUGGACGAAAGUCUGACUGAGCAACGCCGCGUGAGUGAUGAAGGCUUUCGGGUCGUAAAACUCUGUUGUUAGGGAAGAACAAGUGCUAGUUGAAUAAGCUGACACCUUGACGGUACCUAACCAGAAAGCCACGGCUAACUACGUGCCAGCCGCCGCAGUAA